AAUAUUUGACAUUUGUUGAAGUUUGUAGCCGGUAUUAUCGACUUUGGGUAUAUAAAAUUAUCAUUUAGAAUUUCAGACAUUCAAGAAUCAAGACCAUUUUUAGGGUUAAUACUCUGUUUGAUCUGAAGCUCAAUCAAAGUAAAGAUGGCGAAUCUGCCACAAUCACUCUCCUUAAACGCAGCACCUUACGGUCCAAUUCCAGGUAUCACUUCAUCUCCCAUUCCUCAAUCAAACCCUAGCGUCGAUCGGCAGAUGCAGUCAGCUGAGCUUCUCGUCCUUGACCUAAGUAAUCCCGAUCGUCGUGAAAAUGCUCUGCUCGAACUUUCCAAGAAAAGAGAAUUGUUUCAAGAUUUGGCUCCUCUAUUGUGGAAUUCUUUUGGAACUAUUGCUGCUCUUCUACAGGAAAUUGUAUCAAUAUACCAAGUGCUGUCACCACCUACCCUGACUCCUGCUCAAUCAAAUCGUGUCUGCAAUGCCCUUGCUUUAUUACAGUGUGUUGCAUCUCACCCUGAUACUCGAAUGCUGUUCUUAAAUGCCCACAUUCCUUUCUAUCUGUAUCCUUUUCUUAAUACAACGAGCAAAACUAGGCCUUUUGAGUACUUGCGGCUGACUAGCUUGGGUGUCAUUGGUGCCCUCGUAAAGGUUGAUGAUACUGAAGUCAUCAGUUUCCUUCUUCAAACGGAGAUAAUUCCUUUGUGUCUUCGUACCAUGGAAAUGGGGAGUGAAUUGUCAAAAACUGUAGCUACAUUUAUUGUCCAAAAGAUUCUUCUCGAUGAUGUGGGCUUGGAUUACAUAUGUACUACUGCUGAGCGCUUUUUUGCUGUUGGAAGAGUUUUAGCCAACAUGGUGGGUGCAUUGGCUGAACAGCCUUCUUCCCGGCUGCUGAAACAUAUUAUUAGAUGUUACCUCCGGCUUUCAGAUAACCCAAGAGCUUGUGAUGCUCUGAGAAGCUGCCUGCCAGAAAUGUUGAGAGAUGCCACCUUCGCUAGCUGCCUUCGUUUCUGUCAGGUUAAAUGUUGCUGGAUGCAAGUAACUUUCAUGAUCUAUUGUGCUGAGAUGUGAGAAAUCUUUUCAAGAAACUUACAGCAUGAUGUUGAUUGUUCUGUGUCUGAUUACUGGAAGAUCCAACGACAAGAAAGUGGCUUCAACAGUUGCUUCACAAUGUUGGAGGAGGGCCCCGAGUUGCCUUUCAACCCGGAACUGGUUUUGAACAUAUGCUGGUAAACUAGGUGAACAACCAAUUAUAUGACAAGCAUAAUAUCUUCAAUCUUGCAAAUCAAGUGGUAGCUUCUGACCUCCAGUAUGCUGUCAAGUCUAGUUUUCAAAGACCAUACAAAUAAUUAUGAAUAGGCCGGAAAUGCUAAAUUAAGCUAGGAGCUAGAGUAUAAGAUCCAAAGUUAGUUAUCUCUCGAAAUGUAGUUAGUAUGUACAAACCUUGUCGACUUUACGUUCAUUUGAUUGAUUAGUUAUGUGCAUGAACAAGUCAUUGUGUGUAAUUUCGGUUGAUGUACAUAAAAGAAUUGUGAUCGAGUUUUCAGUUGACUCUGUUUUGAUGUUGUGUUGUGAAUUGUGAUUAUCUGAUCUUA